rnacentral:misc_RNA from 1 species
GUGCAAAGCGGAAGAGAGCUUAUUUUGUUUCUACUUUCUAAACUUCAUCUGUUAAUCACAAAUUUCCAAUCUCGAAUUUUCCAUCAUCACAAAUCUUCAUUUUUUAGGCUAAGAUUACGUUACAGCCAUUACAAACCUAUUUUUGUUGCUCAUGGUCAUCACUGUAAUUUAAAUCCAUGCUCCCUAGCUCCAGCAGUACCUUUAAAAACAAUAGAAUCAACAGUAGCGACGCUUAGGGGUGUGCAUUAAACAAUUUUAACAAAAAAAAUUUUUGAAUGAAUUGGUUCAGUUUGAUUAUAAAUUUUUGAGAACUUUGAUUUUCUAUUCAGU